rnacentral:lncRNA from 1 species
CCUAGUGCUAUCAAAAAAAAAACCCAAAAUGCAGCCCUGCCAACACUCUGAUAUUAGCCUAAUGAGACUUAUUUUGGACUUCUGUCUUCUAGAACUGCUGGAUAAUAAAUUUGUGUGGUUUUUAAGGCACUAAAUUUAUAGUAAUUUGUUACAGCAACAGAUUUAGGAAACUAAUACAAACUGUUAUUAUUGUUAUCUAUGCAAAGAAAGCUAGUUGUCGGUGAAAGGGGGUGUCCCUCCUUCCUUGGUGUAGAGAUUUUUAUGGAACUGGGUGCUGUCAAAAGUUGAGAAGUAGCACAAUUAAAACCAUCAAAUUAAUAAAUAGUAUCUAGUAAGAAUUUAUUAUGCAUCUAAGAGUUUUCAAAUUCAAAGACUCAUGUGAAACUCAGGGGCACAGUGUUACAGGAUGGCUUAUAAAGUGAAAAUGAGAGAGCUGUCAGCUUUGACAGUGAUUGUAAUGGGAGUUUCCAGACGGCAGAGGAUUGGUUAGAAGUGAUUAUCUGACACCAUUUUUAGGAAGAUAGCUUAAGUUUGAUGGUUUUCAGAGGUAGUUACAGGGAAUAACUUAAGUACCACAUAUGUUCAUGAAAUAAGAUUUAGUUAUACUAACUGUCAGCUCAGGGAAUUCUCAGGUCUGGUCUCCAUUUUCUAUUUAAUUUGAAAAAUUUUCCCCUUGUGUCCAUUCUUUGAGCAAGUUUAGAGUGUGAUGAGCUAGUACCAUGUUACUCUCAGCAGCCACUGUUAAUAGAGGCUGAAAAAAAAUCACAUAUUUGCUGUUUCCAUUAGUCGGGUCAUCAGGAUGGAGGGUCACGUAGUUGCUAUUCCCAACAUUUGCGUGUCAUCCUAGAUGUGGGUGAUGAGAUCACUGAGUUCUUCCAGUUGCCUAAUUCUCAUGGGAGUCAUUUAAUGUGUGAAUGGCUGCUGAAAAGCAUUUUAAAAGGCCCUUGAUAAGAUACAAUGCCCUAGAGAGGUUAAUAUGAUGACUAUAUGGAGAAUAAUAGCCAAGGAUUGAAAAAUUCUUCAGGGCAGAGAUUCACAGGAGACAAGAUUUAACCAAGUAAAUAAAUCAAAUGGGUUCUAAUAAGGUACAAGUUUCAUCCCCUUUUUUGGGCUAAUGUGUUCAUAUUUGAGUUUCAAUUAUUUCUGAGUUAUUUAUAUAAGCACCACAUGAUGUAUUAGCAAUGACAUAUACUCUUGAUUACCUAGGACAAGAUAAACAUACGGACAGACCUUUUCAUUUCAGGUGGUGGCAUUGCAGGUGAGCUUCUACUUAGAUUAGGCCUUUAUGUGAUGUGAGUCAGGUAAUUUAAUGAGAGGAAUUUCUAUGGAAACAAGCUAACAAAAAAACUUAAUAAAGGUUACUUUUAAACAAAGCUUAAAAGAUUAACAAAAGUUCAAGCAAAUUAUUAACUCAGUUUCUGAGUUUGCUGAGCAGCCAGUUCAGAAAAUUUCUAUAUUUGAGCUUGAAGCAUCAUUACAUGGUGGAAUGAGGAUGGCAGUUUCAGUCUGACGGAUUUUCUUGGCUAGCAAGUUUGACUGUAUUUGAUGUUAUAGGGUGUUUUGGUGAACUUGCUUAAAUGGCCCAUACAGCAAUGGGCAUGAAGGUUUUCUAUGUACAAUCUGUUCUGGUGCUUUCUCUGAAAUCUACAAGUAGAUAACAAAACCUUGAAGACAAUUAACAGGACUAGAAUCUGAUAAUGGAUACACUGUGAUUAUCUGUUGAAUACAUUUUUUAUACUUGUCUCAUUUUUAUCAAAGAUGUUAACUAUGAAACCAAUUUGUAAAGCAAGUCUAGUUUCAUUAAACUUGGCUUGAUUAUUUCCAUAAGUGUAAGACUAGUGAUUCCAUUGGGAAAAUAAAAUAAAAUUAAAUUAAAAAAAGAAAAGAUAAAAUUGGGGAAGAUGUUCAGAGAUAUGGAUAGGAGAUGUUCUUCAUUUGGUGACUGAUUAGAAAAUAAUAAUGGCCAAGUCUUACUGUACUAGGCAUGAAGUUAUUUAAUAAUCAUUGUAACUUAGUGCUCUCAGUACUAUUGCUAUCACCAUUUUAUAAAUGAAGAAAGUGAGGCAUAGAAAAACCAGGUAAUUUGCCCAGGUAACAGCAUGCACAGCUAUUGUAGAAUCAGGCCAGUAAUCAAACACUGGGAGGCUGACAUCACAGCAGUACCGUCAGUCAUCAAGCUGUGUCCUGUUGGAUCAUAGGAAUGAGAGUCUGAGAAGCCAUAAGAUACCUUUGUUCUUCAACUUGGGUAAAUGGACAGUGUUUUUAUUAAACUGGGAAGAAAUGUACAUUUGUUUUGCUUUACCUCAUUUUGGCCCUUGCCAAAGAGAUGAAGUAACUUGGCUGAGGUCACAUAGGGCAGUCCCUCUGUAUAAUAGAGAUUCCAGCUUCAUGAGAUCAGGUUCAAGGCUUCGCUCUAUCAGAGUACUAACUGGAAGCCUUCUUAUCCUUGGCUCUCUGCUAUGUCGUAUGAGAAUUGAAGUACCAAUCUUUACCUUGAGUAGCAUUUAACAUGAAACUAAAAGAGCUUAAACUUCUAGGGCCUUUGAUGGCAUUUAUUAAUAGAGUUAAUUCAUGUAUUGGGACCCACAAAAUGGAGACUGCCCUACUGGCCUGGCUCACUUCACAAAUCUAAACUUAAGUCAGCCUGCAUUUACUGGAAAUGUCUUACUGUCAAAGAAACCAAACACCAAUCACAAUCCCCCAACUCAGUUUUAGCUAGCAUGCCUUACCCUAGAAAUAGGACCUGUUAGACUUACAAGGAAAUCCUACAUUUCUGAGCCCAUCAUGCCCUGUUUCUGCUCUGCCACUAAUUGCCUAUAACAUUCUUUAAAACUUGCUCUUGCCCAAAAUGCUUGGGAAAGAGUGUACCAUUGCUUGGUAGGCACUGUCCCCACCAAGCCAUAGAUUGCCUUCUUUUGAAAAAAGGACAUCAAAUUCAUUAAUCAGUUGUUCUAGUUUUGUCAUUUGACACAUAGGUCUUCUAAGACUGUGCCAGCUAAAGAAUGUCAUUAGGCGUCUGGCUCUAUAAGGAUUGUCACUAGCCACUGCAGCCACUGACCUUGAAUACACACUGAAAUGAGCUCAGGAAUGAGGCAUUUUGUGCUCUGGGAAAACUGGCAGAACAGGCCUUCAAAUAGUUCUUUUUCAGGAGAAGUUUUUUAUGAACCUGGAUAUUUUCAUCUUCCCAUACUUAGAAAAGCACUAAAACCAUAAAAUAUCUGAUCUUUGUGACUAGUAGCAACCUUCCACUGAGAUGUGUACUUGGUUGCAUGUACCCCCUUCACCAAAAUCAUAUAUAUACUGAUCUCCCCACUUCCCUCUUCAGAGCAUUUCCUCAGAGAUAUCUGAAGGGCUGUCAUCCAGGCUAUACUCCUCAAUAAAACAUGGAAUAAACUCCACUCAUGGCUUUUAUAUUGUGGUUUUCUUUUUUUUAAGUCAGUAUCUCUAUACUUAAUUUCAUAAGCAUUUUUUUUUCAUUUUUCUCCCAUAAUUUGCCCAGAGAUACAUAAGCUUCCCACAAAGACUGAAUCUGCCCUGGAUCUAUUUUUUACUUGAGUAGUUAUGAUUGUUUAUAAACCUGGGGAGAAAAUCAAGAUCUCCUGUUACCCAAGCCCCAGAUUUCCUUCCCCUCAACAACAGUGGAUGCCUCUUCUCUCCUUUCCAAAUCCCUGGACCUCCUGCCUCAUGGUCACUUCCUUUGCACCCCAUCACUGUAUCCCUAAUGUCCAGGCAUCCCUAACUCUCUUAGAUAGUGCUGUGGCAUAUAAAAAUAACUUUCCUACUCUGCAAAUGUCUGAAGGUAGAAUAAGAAUACCAUUCUCUUAGGUACAUUUUCUUGAUGUAAAUUCUGCAAAGUUUUAACUCCCAUCAUUCCAGUGGGCAUUCACAUCUUAAGAGAGGCUGUUUAUUAACAUAAAAGAAUGAGGAAUGAGUGAGUAUAUAUAUAAAGGGAGACUCUGCAGCUGCUAAGCCGGCAGCCAGGUUCCUACUCUGUCCUGUGUGGCAUUCCAGGGUAGGACUUGUGCGCCAUGAAACUGGGCAACAUAACUUGAGGAGGUGAGAUCAUCAUCACAAGAACUGAUUUACUUCAAAAAUCUCAAUUCUGAAAAAAUGUUUAGCCAAGGUUGUUAAAAUGAAAAAUGGAGACAUGAGCUAGGUUACUUUCAUUUUUUUCCCCACAGUGCUCCAGUUGAAUUCAACAGCAGUUAAAAUUUUAUACCUUGAAAAUACUUGCAUAUUUCACAAGUAUAAAUUCAACUCUGGCUGGCAUAAAGCAGACUUUCCAGUUAAUGAAGCAUUUCAAAUACAUUUAUCUUCUUCUCAUAAAGGAAAGCAAAAAAAAAAAAAAGAAAGAA